UGGGGAGCACUACCAGCACUACCGAUCAGUGCCAGAGCGAAAUGGCAAGCAUGAAGGACAUUCUGGCGGUCCCAGCGUCAUCAGUGCGAGGAUAGGAUAAAUCAUUGCAGAUAGUGUAAAUCAUAUCACCAGAACCUGCAAUAUCCCAGCUGGUGGCGAAUUGUUUGAUUGGAAUCAGUUUUGUUCUGCAAGUAGUAAGACACAGAUUGCAUUCUUUUUCUUUCACGCUGAGAAGUGGGUUCGUCGUUUGAACCGCGCAAUUCUCCCAACAUGAAGUCUUUUGUUUUGAGCUCCGUUUGUCGCUUGCUAUUAAGUGCACCUGCUGACGGUAAGCUAUUAAAGCUACGGUACAAUCUCGUGUUCAGUGGAAGAUUGAGGGCGCUCCAAUCUACAAAGUUGGAUGGCGUGCGGCGGAAAACUGGAGGCGUCAGCACUCUGAGUGAGGCAAAAUUUCGAAAUACCUAAGACCUCGAUACAUGCCGGGGUGUGCGAGUGCUCCUGUGGGAGCGCGGUGGGCUGUGCGAUGAAAAAUUUCACCUUGCUUUCACUAUGACAGUAUAUUUGCAUUUUCUGGAUCGAGGAAAUGGUUAUUCAAUUAAACGCCGAUAUCGGCUAACCAUAAUCAGCUGGCGACUGUACCGGCUCAACCGAUCCCCAAAUCUAUUACGAACGUGUUAGAUAAUUAGCAACAGUAUUUACCUAAAUUAUUCCUCAACAUGUAUGUUCCAGGGCUUCCAAUCGCUGAAUAAAGACCACAUAGGGUGCGGAGUACCGAUCCGAUCGUUGUCGAGAGCUGCCAUUAUAAGAGCACCGUCUGAAGGCUGCCUUUCAGUCAGUGUCGGUGUCGGACUGGAAAAUCGUUGCCAAACUCGAUAGUUGACCUGUGCCCUCUUGAAUGGUGGGUACUGCUAAAAUCAACACCCCCGGUUGCGCGGUUGAUGUCAGCCCGAGUACAAGCACCUGUGUGUAGGUGAAACUGUAAAUGUUAUUGAACCGUGGGAAAAGGUGCAGAGAAAGGCUGCUGACGGUGAGCGCGGCGUAUGGGCUCUAGUGAUCUGUUCAAAAUUGUGAGCAAAUUCCGAACUACUGCAAAGUCGAUGCUCGGAAUAUAAAUUGGACUAUUUGCAAUUGGUAAGGAGUCUGUAUUGUUGGGCGAAAUUUAUUCAUGUUAAUACCAGUUUCUACAUCUUGUUCUCUGGUAUAAAACUGCUCAACGCAGCAUUUCAAACCCCGUCACUAAUUGUUCUAGCAUUUGCAAACCAAGAAAAAAAAUAGGCGUCUAUACAAAUCGUCUAAAAGCACAAAAUUUCAGUGAAUUUGAUUUUCUGACAUUUAUGAUACAUUCAUACGAUGAUACUUUAUGAUCGAUUAAUGUUAGAUUAAGAAUUUAUUCAGUCUAUAGUCUAUAAUCUAUAGUUGAACUACGUUCUCGAGGAUGUUAUGAAGUAAUAAACAGGAGACAGAUUUCAAAGGGAUGGCAUCAAUGGAACUAGAUUACAGUCGUUUUAUAGUGUACCCGAGGACAGCUAAUGCCUUCACUGUUACAUAGCAUAAGUGUUCAUGAAUGCGUGGUUUUCAACAUUCAACCCAUUAGCGACCAAGUUGUUGAAAUAUUUUUUGACGGAAGUCAUUUGUGUAAUUUUUUAUUAUUGGCGAUAAAGAAACCCGAACGUUCAAGAAUUACUGUUUCUUUCAAUCUUCUAUUUUCCGGGAUAAUGACUGGUCAAAAAAAUCGAACAUUGGCCAAAACCUGUAUUUUUUCCUGUUGGAGGUUCACUCGAAUGAUGUUUGUCCCAUAUCACAAUGCACAAUGGUCCAGGAGAUGUAUUUAAGUGGAAAUUAGCAUUUAGAGCUCGACAAUUAUUCUCUAGACAAAAACUGUCUUCGACAAAGUUGUUACAUACAAUAGAGCGCUUAUUUUUAUGUUAUCAAAAAUAGGGUGACCAAAAUUGUCGAUGAAAUAAAAAAUAUAACUUUCUUAUCUUUAUAGAUAGAGGUAAACAUAGUUCGUCAAUGCUGUAGUCCUAGUCAUUUGAGACAUCUUUAACCGAUAACCGAUAUAGCGCCUUUUUUCUAAGUUACGUUAGGGUCACCAUGAAAAAAAAAUGUUUUUUUUUGCUCUUACUUUUAUAUGUCAAAUUCUUCAUACAAACUGUCUUCAGAAGAUUUUUAGAACUUACUAAUACAAAUAUUUUGAGAUGCAGAACUUAUCAAUAUCUCAACUCUACUCAAAGUUAUUUAUAUUUCUUCCCAAAUGAAAACGCUCUCUUCAAUUGUUUGUCAUUCUUUCUGGGGCAAACACAAGCAAAGUUUAUUGACGGAAUUUGA